AUUGAACGCUGGCGGCGUGCUUAACACAUGCAAGUCGAACGUGAAAGGGGCUUCGGCCCUAAGUAAAGUGGCGCACGGGUGAGUAACACGUGGAUAAUCUGCCCUUAUGAUCGGGAUAACAGUCGGAAACGGCUGCUAAUACCGGAUACGCUCAAAAUGAACUUUUUGAGGAAAGGUGACCUCUGCUUGCAAGUUACUGCAUGAGGAUGAGUCCGCGGCCCAUUAGCUAGUUGGUAGGGUAACGGCCUACCAAGGCAACGAUGGGUAGCCGAUUUGAGAGGAUGAUCGGCCACACUGGAACUGAAACACGGUCCAGACUCCUACGGGAGGCAGCAGUGGGGAAUAUUGCGCAAUGGGCGAAAGCCUGACGCAGCGACGCCGCGUGAGGGAUGAAGGUUUUCGGAUCGUAAACCUCUGUCAGAAGGGAAGAAACCGGCACCGUGCUAAUCAGCGGUGCAUUGACGGUACCUUCAAAGGAAGCACCGGCUAACUCCGUGCCAGCAGCCGCGGUAAUACCGGAGGGUGCAAGCGUUAAUCGGAAUUACUGGGCGUAAAGCGCACGUAGGCUGCUUUGUAAGUCAAGGGUGAAAUCCCACGGCUCAACCGUGGAACUGCCUUUGAUACUGCUUAGCUUGAAUCCGGGANAAGGGUGGCGGAAUUCCANGUGCAAGGAGUGAAAUCCGUNCAAAGAAAAUUGACGGGGGGCCCGCACCAAAGCGGUGGAAGUAUGUGGUUUAAAUUCGAUUGCAACGCGAAGAACCCUUUACCUUAAGGUUUGACAUCCCACGGAACCUUCUCCGAAAAGAAGAGGGUGCCUUUCGGGGAAGCCCGUGAGACAGGUGUGCAUGGCUGUCGUCAGCUCGUGUCGUGAGAUGUUGGGGUUAAGUCCCGCAACGAGCGCAACCCCUAUGAAUAGUUGCCAGCAAGUAAUGUUGGGCACUCUAUUCAGACUGCCCGGGUUAACCGGGGGGAAGGUGGGGACGACGUCAAGUCAUCAUGGCCCUUACGCCUAGGGCUACACACGUACUACAAUGGCGCGCACAAAGGGCAGCUUACUAGCGAUAGUUGGCGAAUCCUUAAAAGCCGUUCCCAGUUCGGAUUGCAGUCUGAAACCCGACUGCAUGAAGCCGGAAUCGCUAGUAAUCGCAGAUCAGCCAAGCUGCGGUGAAUACGUUCCCGGGCCUUGUACACACCGCCCGUCACACCACCCGAGUUGGGGGCACCCGAAGCCGCAGGCUUAACCCGUAAGGGAAAGAAGCGUCUAAGGUGCGCCGAGUAAGGGGGGUG
rnacentral:rRNA from 1 species